rnacentral:rRNA from 1 species
UACGUAGGGCGCAAGCGUUGUCCGGAAUUAUUGGGCGUAAAGAGCUCGUAGGCGGCCUGUCACGUCUGCUGUGAAAAGCUGGGGCUUAACCCUGGCCUUGCAGUGGAUACGGGCAGACUAGAGGUAGGUAGAGGAGAAUGGAAUUCCUGGUGUAGCGGUGAAAUGCGCAGAUAUCAGGAAGAACACCCGUGGCGAAGGCGGUUCUCUGGGACGGUACUGACGCUGAGACGCGAAAGCGUGGGGAGCGAACAGG